rnacentral:misc_RNA from 1 species
GACGAACUGUGCAAACGUUGUUCGGAAUCACUGGGCUUAAAGGGCGCGUAGGCGGGCUGCCAGGUCUGAAGUGAAAACUUUCGGCUCAACCGGAAGAGUGCUUUGGAAACGGGCGGCCUCGAGUGAGGGAGAGGCAGAUGGAACUUCCGGAGGAGCGGUGAAAUGCGUUGAUAUCGGAAGGAACGCCGGUGGCGAAAGCGAUCUGCUGGACCUCUUCUGACGCUGAGGCGCGAAAGCCAGGGUAGCGAACGGG